UUAUAAUUUUAAAAAGCUUUUAAAGAAUCUUUUGCAGUUUUCCUUUCUCAUUGAGAAUUACCUUUAAUUUCAAUCUCUCUCAAUAUAAGAAAAACCCCCAUAGAUAAAAAAAAUACCGUCGAGAAGAUGGAGACAUACUUGCAGACCGGAUUCAUUAAUUUCGGCAAUAAGUAGAUCAUCAUUCUCUUGGCGUAGGACAAGUGUGACUUGUGGAAUUAUAUUGAUGCCAUAAGCCUGCUUACUUUCCCUGCGUCCUGCAGCGACGCAAUAAAUAUUCUUGCUUUGUUGGGGUGAUGAUGUUGCUACUGUGAUUUGUCGAGUCUUCUUGAUGAGGUAAUAACAUCAUGAGAGAGUAAAAGUAUUUUUUAGAGACACGACACCUCCUUUGCAUGCUAUAUUUUGAUCAGGACAAGCAAACAACAAUCAAAUUGCUUGGUUGUUUGAAAAACUUAAUUCCAGUAAAGCUUCCAGGCACAUGAUGUCUAAGCAAGGGCUGAAUCCACAACACCUCUCCUUGUGGAACUUUCACUUAUGGAUCUGGACAUUUUGUGGAGUCAGGACAACCCGACCUUAUGUAUCACCUUCUGGAUAUCCCAUCAUCACUAAUCUCAAGUCUGGUAAUUAUAUUUGUUUUGCUCAUUUCUUUUACUUUUGGAUGAAUUUAGUGUCUGCAAAAAAGGUUUUUUUUCCCUGAUUUUUUUUGUACUCCUUUUUAUAUGUUGAUGUUCUUAUGUAUGUGCUUCAAAUGAACAUAGCAACGUUAACUAUGAGAGAAUAAGAUUUUGUAAAUUUUGUUAGCAAAGCUACUCAUUUGAUCUCAAAUCUCGCUUGAGGGAAGCUGCUGCUAAACUUGAUUUUGUAAAUGAGAGUUACCAAAUAUUGGUCAAUAUCUUUUUCUUCUUAUUAUGUAGCUAUUGAUUGUUAGUUGCAAGAUUCUUAGGAACAAAAGACAAUAGGAUCGCACGAAGAGCUUCUUGCUAUAGAGCUUUAAAGAAAGUAAUAUGUGUGUGUGUAUAUACACACACACACAAAAGCAGGACAACAACCCAGUGACAUAGCGCAACAUAAACAGAGAUAUGUGUUUAUCUAACGUGAAAGGACUCUUUCAGUUACACGCGAACAAACUCUCUCAGUUACCACCGAACAGAUUCUUUUAGCUACAUGCGAGUUGAGAUCAUUUAAAGAUCCCCAAUCAGUUAACAAAAACUAAAAGGGUCCUUCACCAGCCGUUAAACAUAAAUACAGUAAAACAAUAACUUCAAUAUUUCCUUCUGCUGUAGGCCCUCUGCCCCAUAAAUUCUUUAAGAAAUAAAACACAAUCGGUUUCAAUGUUUUCUUUUGAUGAAGGUAAUUCACUUAAAAGAUAUAUGAAUGGAAGAUUUUGGUGACGAUGCCUUUUUUCCAAUUGAUUAUGUGUUUC